CAGAGGGUGCAAGCGUUAAUCGGAUUUACUGGGCGUAAAGCGCGCGUAGGUGGCCAAUUAAGUCAAAUGUGAAAUCCCCGAGCUUAACUUGGGAAGUUGCAUUCGAUACUGGUUGGCUAGAGUAUGGGAGAGGAUGGUAGAAUUCCAGGUGUAGCGGUGAAAUAGCGUAGAGAUCUGGAGGAAUACCGAUGGCGGAAGGCAGCCAUCUGGCCUAAUACUGACACUGAGGUGCGAAAGACAUGGGGAGCAAACAGGAUU
rnacentral:rRNA from 1 species